rnacentral:rRNA from 2 species
UACGUAGGGUGCGAGCGUUAAUCGGAAUUACUGGGCGUAAAGCGUGCGCAGGCGGUUAUGUAAGACAGAUGUGAAAUCCCCGGGCUCAACCUGGGAACUGCAUUAGUGACUGCAUAGCUGGAGUACGGCAGAGGGGGAUGGAAUUCCGCGUGUAGCAGUGAAAUGCGUAGAUAUGCGGAGGAACACCGAUGGCGAAGGCAAUCCCCUGGGCCUGUACUGACGCUCAUGCACGAAAGCGUGGGGAGCAAACAGG